CUUCAAGGAGAGUUGGAUUUCGCGCUUGUGACAUGCUAGUUUUGUGAAUGAUGUUAACAGUGUAACGUGAUGAAAUAAAAUCUAUUUUGAGAUAGAAGAAAGUUUUGCCUUGUUGGAUCUAUAAUGAAGAUGUCUGACACUUUGGGGAAACGCCGGAAGCUUUCUGGAGCUCAGUACAGAAAGUAAAGAACGAAGAAUAAUUAAGGAAAG
rnacentral:misc_RNA from 1 species